CUGAAGAAUGAGCAGUUGACAGGACUGCAAGUAUAGGCCUUUUAGUGCAAUCUGAAACGUUGCCAUUAUUGGCCCAGUUCUGAUUUACUGAUUCAUAGGAUUGUACAUCUCAAAGCAAUGUGGGAGCUAUGCGGUGCUGCAUAUAAUUGCAUUCAAACCCUACUAAAUUGCCACAGGGAGUCGACCCUGUGACCUGCGUAACACUAGCUGGAAUGAGUGCUGGUUAAGCGACAUACGUGUU
rnacentral:lncRNA from 1 species